UGCAGGUCGAGCGGUAAGGCCCUUUCGGGGGUACACGAGCGGCGAACGGGUGAGUAACACGUGGGUGACCUGCCCUCCACUCUGGGAUAAGCCCGGGAAACUGGGUCUAAUACCGGAUAGGACCACUGAUCGCAUGGUUGGUGGUGGAAAGUUUUUUCGGUGGGGGAUGGGCCCGCGGCCUAUCAGCUUGUUGGUGGGGUGAUGGCCUACCAAGGCGGUGACGGGUAGCCGGCCUGAGAGGGCGACCGGCCACACUGGGACUGAGACACGGCCCAGACUCCUACGGGAGGCAGCAGUGGGGAAUAUUGCGCAAUGGGCGGAAGCCUGACGCAGCGACGCCGCGUGGGGGAUGACGGCCUUCGGGUUGUAAACCUCUUUCGCCAGGGACGAAGAGCAAUUGACGGUACCUGGAGAAGAAGCACCGGCCAACUACGUGCCAGCAGCCGCGGUAACACGUAGGGUGCGAGCGUUGUCCGGAAUUAUUGGGCGUAAAGAGCUCGUAGGCGGUGUGUCGCGUCGGCCGUGAAAACUUGGGGCUUAACUCUGAGCGUGCGGUCGAUACGGGCAUCACUUGAGUUCGGCAGGGGAGACUGGAAUUCCUGGUGUAGCGGUGAAAUGCGCAGAUAUCAGGAGGAACACCGGUGGCGAAGGCGGGUCUCUGGGCCGAUACUGACGCUGAGGAGCGAAAGCGUGGGGAGCGAACAGGAUUAGAUACCCUGGUAGUCCACGCCGUAAACGUUGGGCGCUAGGUGUGGGGACCAUUCCACGGUUUCUGUGCCGCAGCUAACGCAUUAAGCGCCCCGCCUGGGGA
rnacentral:rRNA from 1 species